CCAAACCUCUUGCCUGUCGACUGUGGACAGAAGAUGAACUUUUAGUCUUGGGAUGAUAUCAACAAAUAGACCCUACAGUUGAUGCUGAUCUAACUUUUCUUUUGUCUUGAGACAGGUUCUAAAGUAAUCCAGGCAGGCCUGCUGUCUGCUAGGGCUGAGCAUGAAUUCUAAAUCUCGGUCCUCUAGCUUUUACCCCCUGGAGUGUCUGGGAUGAAGAUGAUGAUGAAGGCAUGUGUGUGAGUUUAGGCAGUGCUCUCCCUCCACUCUGCUAUAUCUCCUGCUAGAAUUUUGAUACUGAAAAGCAGCUUAAAUGAAAACCCUACAUCGUACGCCCUAGGCCCUGAGAUACCAGUCUCCGCACACCACCUCAAAGAGCUUCAACCUGAUAGCCUGGCUCAGCUGCCUUUCAAGGAGUUGACGAUAACCUUAGAUAUGAAUUGUGAUGAGUGUAGAGAAAGUAGGAUCUCAUAUUUCAGCACUAUACCCCCACAAAACUGCACAGACAUGGACAAAGAGAUGCCACAUGUCAAGGUACUCUCUCAGUAAGCUUUUGAAAUUAAAGUGAAUGGCAUUCGUGGAAGUCAGGUAAGUUCUUUUUGCCUUCCGAUUCUUAAAUUGCCUAAGCCCUUGAUAUUAUCUCCCUGUAGAAGAUCAUCCUUUAAAUGACCCCAAACAAUUCUUAUUAAAAAUGUCAGUGAUGAGGGAAUCUGAAGUGGGUCAGAGACACCAGUUAACAGAGGAAGUGUGAGGUCAUGAAGGGCUGACAUCACUUCUUUGCCUCUAUAUAAAACCUCUCAUUAUAUGCUGUAGGCUCCUUUGGAAGGCACAAGAAAAGGCCAAACCCUGUGCCAGGCUGCACUGAUAUCACUGAUUGAGGAAACCAGCUGUUCUCUUUGCUUGGCAGCUCUGUGACUAAUGGGAGGAAAUUUGCAGAAAGCUGCAGUCUCAGGCAGCUCUCACCUCAGAGCCAGUAUCAUCUGCAUUGAGUCCAGGAGUUGGAUGUUCUUCCUUCCAAAUCCCACGUCAGGUCCUCACAACCCAAGAUGACUAGCUCAAGUCUCUCUCAACUUGAGGCUGUGUGCAGGGGGCCACAGUGAAGGUGUGUCGGGCAGGGGGCCUUCCUCCAUCACCUAGGUGAGGUGAGGUACAGAACCAAAGUGGGGAGUUGUUGGUUAUGCUGCCAGUGGGGUGUGUGUGUGUGUGUGUGUGUGUGUGUGUGUGUGUGGUGGGUCAGGAAAGGAAGACUGACCCUGGAGAUAAAGGCUGAGAUUCAUUUCUUCAUGGGAAAGUCAUUCAAGUAGUUUAUGCUUUCUUUGAUAGUCUUAUAUGUGAAAUAUGCAUACUGAUAUGCAUGUGUAACACACACGCAUAUGUAAUGUUAUGCUGAUAUACACAGUACAGCAUACAACCAUGUUCAUGUUCAGACAUGUAGGUCUUGAUUUGUAGAGCUGGGGACUGAGCCCACAGCCUUGCACAUACAGGUGAAUUGCUCUGCCACAGAGCUAAUCUCCAUCCCAUGUACAGAAAUACUCUGAAGCUGUUGAACUUCCUGAGGCUAACACCCAAUCCCCAUGGAUUUUACCAAACCCGGCUGGAGGAGACAAGCCCGCCACUCAAUCAACGCUUGCAGAAGUAUCCGCACUGGCAAAGACAGAGGCCCGGCAGCUGGUUGCUGUGCGGCUUUCUGGUUGGUUUCCCAGUCAUCCGUUCUCAUCUGGGGAUUGCGAUGGCAUGUGCCUCCGUACUUCCUAAGACUGGUGACCCCAAAGAUGGGAGAGUUGAGGAGGAACGCUGGACUGGGUGAUGUGGGGAUACUGGGAAGCUGAAUUUGAAAUUUUCACGCCUGAGAAGAGCUUGGCCGGCUGUCUGACACAGCAGAAAACAGGUUAUUUGAGAUUACAUCUUACACCAGUCAUAGUGGCCAAGAUCAAUAAGAUGGAUGACACCUCAUGCUGGUGAGAAUGUGAGCUAAGAGGAACACACAUCUAUUGCUGCUGGAUACAAGUCUGGGCAGCCACUGUGGAAAUCAGUGUGACAGUUACUCAGAAGGCUCACAAGAGCUCUACCUCAAGAUGCAGCUAUACCACUCUUGGGCAUACACCCAAAAGAUGCUACCUCCAACUCCAGAGACAUUUGCUCAGCCAUGUUCACUGAUGCUAUUUAUAAUGGCAAGAUUUUGAAAACAGCCUAACUAUCUCACAACAGAUGAAUGUCUGCACCAAAUUCCUCUCUUCAGGACUCAGGAAACUUGGAGGAAUUGGGGGUGGGGUGGAGAAAGAGCAUAAAAGAGAGGCUGAAGGACACCAAGCAAGCUAAGGCCUCUAAGACAGCAUGAGCAAAGUACAAACUCUCGGAGACUGGCAACGUGCGUAAGGCCUGCACAGAUCUAGCUCUGGGCCAGGCCCGAGCCAGUGCUGAGACGGUGGCUAAGCUCCCAGCCCAACCUUGGAGUCAUCUCCAAUUGACAGCUACACUAAAGGGAACGCUCCACGCCCAGAGCAUAAAGCCAAUAUGAAAGUAACUCAAAGCUAUUUUUGGAAAAUGUUUUUAACUCACUGCUCUUUUGCUUGUAUAUCAUGGUUUUUGAUUUUGUGCUCUUUCUUAGAUUUUUGUUGUUGUUGUUGCUGUUUGUUCAUUUUGUUUUAUCCAUAUUUAUUUGUCUUUUGUUUUGUUUUGUUUUGUUUUGUUUUUUAAGAGGGAGAAAGAAGGCAUGGAGUUGGAAGGGCCUGAAAGAUCUGGGAAGAUUUGAGGGAAG